GCCUGAUUGGUGUAGUGGUAACGCACGGAGGGAGUAGUCGCAGUAGGUCGCAUGAAGCAGUAAGUCGUCCAAGUUAUACCUCAGGGCUCAGUUCGAUUCUGAGAUCGGGCA